rnacentral:rRNA from 1 species
CGGCGGGAAAGACUCCACGGAGGGUGUAAGACCCGUGUGGGCGCGUGUCAAAGCUGUGCGGGCUCGGCCUCUUUUCCCUGAGAGUCGCGUUGCUUGAGCAUGCAGCGCUAAGCAGGUCGUAAACUCGAUCUAAGGCUAAAUAUCUCCACAGAACCGAUAGCGAACAAGUACCGUGAGGGAAAGUUGAAAAGCACUCUGGAGAGAGAGUCAAAAGACCGUGAAACCGCUCAGAGUAUAAGCCCAUGGCAGCUUGGAAGGCAUAUCGCGAGCGGGGCAUCGGCCUUCCUUCGCGGGGAGCCGGUGUUACCUUGCCUCUGUUGUGGCUCGUCAUGGUAGGGGGGGUCUAUUCCACAUCCCGCCGUCGUGUGGGGAGUUCUCGGGCGUGUCGUUGCUUUGCGGUUGACCUCGGUUGGCCGUAGGGCUCUUCGCGCUCGGUUCUUUUUUAUACACGGACGUUCAGACUCAGAGGCAAGACGCGAUAACCAGCCCACCACGGCACGUUGUGAGGUCACCCACAGGCUCAACUUUCGAUUGUGGUCCUUGACGCCGAGCAAGCACAAUGCGUGUCGCAGAUGUUCCUAACCGGACAGAUUUUGUCAGGACCGUGGAACGACACGCGCUCAACAGUCAGGACCGGGCGAUGACAGAGUUCUGGUACGAUCCUCUUGCGACGAGCCGCCUUCUGGCCGAUUUCCGAUGCUCAGGUCUCCCGCAUGUGCCGCGGGAGAUCGCUUUGGCGGUCUGGACCCGUAAGAGUUCUCUCAGCCGGGCA